rnacentral:rRNA from 1 species
UCUUGGGAGUUGGUUUUGGGCUUUGCUCGUGGGGUGCGUCGUUACCGGAGAUCUUGCGAUAGGAAGAGGAGCGACCGGAGGCGGAAGCGGGGGAAGGGGCGUACGAGGUCUGGGGCCGUGGGAGGGGAGGCGGAGGAGCCGGAGGUGGAGUCGAGGCCCGUAGAGGAGGCGCGGAGGUGGGAGAGGUGGCGGCGACGGGGACGGGGACUACGCCUGCGCCUGCGGCUGGGGAUGCUCCCGCAGCUGUGGCAGCUCGUAGAGGAGCGGGGUUUCGGGUGGAGGGGCCAGCCGCAUGCGUACCCGGCCGAGUACUUCUACGUCGCGGCGCGGCUGCGGCUGCCGGGCCGCCGCCCCGCCCCGUCCACCAAGGGAAUGGACCUGCGCAAGGCCCCCCGCCCCCCGCACCUCCACUGGUCGGUCCUCCACCACCUGCACGACCUCGGCAUGUAGGAGCUCGGCGCCGCCCUGGCCUAGGCGGCGCGGCAGGUCUCGUCCUCGAUGCGGCAGACGGACCAGCACCUCCCGGAGUGGCUGAAACCAUUGCAGAGGCGCCGCAAGGCGAGGCGGCUGCGCGAGCCGCACGUCAGGCACGUGCAGUAGAGGACGCUCCUGUUGUUUUCCAUAUCUCUAUUGUCCGUGCACUCAUACCCACGGCUCUUUACCGACCUGUAGCUCGAUACCUCGAGUGGACGUCUUACAAAACUACGAAACUUUUUCGCACCAAUAGCGUAACGUACAUGAUCAAACCCUUCACUAAGCCAAAGACACAUACUGUACCUAACCAGAGUAGGUUGCCGAUAGCAACACCCGUUACUCUGAUACCCAUAAUCGCUGCAGCGAGACUUCAACAGCCUGUACGUGACAUCACAAGGUUACUUUCCGUACCACCUAAGAAAAUUACAUAGACAACGUCGACCUUAGGAAUACGUGGUACGACAAAUACUAUCUCAAAGGGCGGAACAUUCAUGUUAAAAAAAAGGUAACACUUCUGAAGAAUUGAACUUUAUUCUGAACUAUGCCGGUUUGUAAUUUAAAAGCGGACGAUAGCAUUCCGACGAAGUCUUAAUGUCAGUGGAAGAUUGCUCUUUCGUGGACGGUGGUGGAUAAAACUAAGGUUGAAAAUGUAAACUACCUAAGAAUACUACUAAUAUCAUAUGUAGUGGUAAACGCGUAGCUAUUCUUGUACAAACUGAGUAGAAUUCAAACAAAACCAGUGGUAGUAAUUGAAUUUGAUCCUGGUAUGACAGUCAAUAAAAAAUCAACAUCAGGAUUUAAACUAAGUCAGUAAACUCUAUUAACCUCUAUCGUCUCCGGCAUCACGUCAGACUCAAUUAAUCUAGGUGGACUACCAAAUACGUAGAGUAGAGCGUAUGGUCGAAUUACCCAAAUAUUUAAUAUUUGACCUAUUCGACCGAAGAAUCGUCCGAACACUCAUUCGACGCAUGGAGAUCGAUCUGUAUCGUUCAGAGUUCACAACGAUGAUUUAAAUAAUGUGUUUCGUAUUGGUGGUUUAAGUCAAACAUGAAUACCAAACUGGAUUUGAGGUUUGAGCGGAUGUUUGUACAUUGUUGGAAAAGUUAGAUCUAAUAACUCCCACACAUAGUCUCACUAAACUUAACAGUGGCCGUGGUAAUUCAAAGUCGAGUAAUUAUUUGAAUUUUCUAACAGACUGGUAGAAGACGCAACUUUUUAUGUCUUUGAACGUACACACGAAAGUACGUAAAUAAAAGAGACUGGUACGACGAAUCAAUGGAAGUUCAUUCCCUUAACUACUGGUGUUUUGACGAACAUUCGGGAAACAUUUGAACGUCGCAAAAUAGAGGUCAAAGUUAAUGUCCCAGUCUUACCACUAGAGUGCGGACUUCUUUUAUCUUAUAACGACCGUCUCAAGAUAGACGCAGUAGCUCUCUCGUGUCGAUGGCAGUAAGUACUUAUACGGUUUUCCUUCCGUUUAUUAAACCACCGGUUUGAAACUCUAGCGUCACUGACGACUUCUUUGUACACGUUCGAUCAAACAAUUCAUCAGUAAACAUACCGUCAACCGAUUAAGUCACAAUACUAGUUGAAAAUCUGAUUGUCCAAUAAAGACUUUUUCCUUGCUAGUAUGACGAGCCGUUAGUCCCACGACGUUAUACGACUAAGGUUUGUCUUAGUUCCCUGUCCUGAAACCACAGAAACCACUACGUCGGAUAACGAGUUUGGAUUUCGUGAUGCUACAUGAGAUGUACUAAACCGAACGGUUAAAAAAAACCCAGUGUCGUCACCACCUCGGUCCUAGUAUCUACUCCCUCGGGUUUACCGAGUUUGAAAACUAUUGUCCCCGGUUUAGUGUGAUUAUGUACAAAAAGGGAAUUUAAACUCUCUAACUUUGUAAUUUGUUCGUAUAUGAGGGAGGUAUUGAAUUAUAUUCUGCAAAAGACUGUGUUCAUAUAUGUGUCCAUAUCCUCGGUACCGAGGACGGUCAGGGGUGACAGAGGCGGUAACUCGCGUGUCAUUAAGUGGCAAUGGGGUUUCAAACCCCACAAAAGAAAACCUUUUUUAUUAUAUAUUUGCCAGACUACAUCAGUGAUCCAUCAUUCGCUAAUUAAACCUAUCCAAAAGUGACUCAUGAGGAAACAGAACUUCCACAUCGGUAAACUAUCCAAAGGCACAUCAAGCACUUUUAUAGUGGCCUGUUUCUAUAAAAGGACUUCUUGCCUCGACUUCGACCAUUUCUAAUCAGCAUGAGUUUUUUAUCCAACGUCUAAAGAACCGAUAUGUAAGCCCCUCCCUCGUAAGUUGGCUGAACACCAACAUUUGACAUUGUGACAAUUGACUAGUUAUUUCAAGG